rnacentral:rRNA from 1 species
AUGCAGGAAGCUCCCCUCCACCCGGCCCACCCCGUGCCCUUCGGCCCCAGACUGCCGGCCUUCCGCGAUCGCCGCCUCUGCCCCCCCACCGCCGACGGGCCCUUCUUCUACGGCGGCUGCACCCCCUUCGUCCCGAGCCCCAGGCCGUCCCCGCUCGGGCGCGGCAGCCCCCCCUUCACCCCGAGCCCCAGGUCCUCGUCGCCCGGCACCCCCUGGUCCUCCUCGGCCUCUUCCUCCUCCGGCUCCCGCGUCGACGCGGCGGCCACGGAGCAUGGCCUGCGCAUGGCCCGCCUCGCGCUGCAGUACCAGGACUUCGCCAACCGCUACCAGCUCUGCCUCUCCCACCUCGCCGACGCCGCGCGCGAGGCCGCCGCCAUCCGCCACGACAACUCCGGCCUCCGCCUCGCCAACAACGUCCUCGCCAGCCGCUUCGCCGUGCUCGGCGGCAACCAGGCCUCAGCCGUCGCGCUGGCCGAGCAGCUCCACCGCCUCCACCUCGGGCAGAUGCAGGCGCAGGCAGUGCCCGCUCCCCCGGUGCUGCCCAUGCCCAUGGCGCCGCGCCUCGCCUCCUCGGCCGAGAAGCUGCGCCCCCUCCACCCCGGGCAGAUGCAGGCGCAGGUCGUGCCGGCUCCCCCGCCGAUGCCCAGGGCGCGGCCCGCCUCCCCGGCCGAGAAGCACGCGGCGAUGCCCAAGAGCAUCUCCAUCCGCUCCAACGGCUACCUGAAGAUGGACAGGAACGGCAAGCAUCGCGUGACGGCGCCGGUGAACGUCGGCUCGCGCGUGUUCGUGGGCGUGGACGGCGCCAAGGCGGAGGAGCACCAGGGCCGCGGCGGGGAGAAGGGCGGUCAGGUCGCCACGGCUGCCGACAGGCUGCAGUUCGAGGUGUACAGCCAGGGCAUGUUCAAGACGGAGCUGUGCAACAAGUGGGAGGAGACCGGGGCGUGCCCGUACGGCGACCAGUGCCAGUUCGCGCACGGCAUCGCAGAGCUCCGCCCCAUCAUCCGCCACCCGCGCUACAAGACCCAGGUCUGCCGCAUGGUCAUCGGCGGCGCCAUCUGCCCCUACGGCCACCGCUGCCACUUCCGCCACUCCAUCACCCCCGCUGACUACAUCCCCCUCCUCCACCCCUGA